AAAAAGGGUAUCUGCCAUGACUGGCACAGGGACAGGCAGAGGCUCUCUGUCUUCCCUGUGGAAUCAUCAUCAAGAGAUUUCAGAUGCGUAAUUUUUUAUCUCUGGGGUUGCUAAUGACCAAUUUGUCUUGGUGCUCCU